rnacentral:rRNA from 1 species
ACAGCAGUCGCCGCGGGAAUACAGAGGAUGCAAGCGUUAUCCGGAAUGAUUGGGCGUAAAGGGCGCGUAGGCGGUGAGAUGUGUGUGGUGUGAAAGCCCCGGGCUUAACCUGGGAAGCGCAUCGCAAACUAUCUGACUGGAGUAUAUGAGAGGGUGGCGGAAUUUCUGGUGUAGCGGUGAAAUGCGUAGAGAUCGGAAGGAACGUCAAUGGCGAAGGCAGCCACCUGGCAUAAUACUGACGCUUAGGCGCGAAAGCGUGGGGAGCAAACAGGAUUAGAUACCCCAGUAGUCCCUGUCUCUUAUAC